UGCUGUCAAACGGGAAGCAUAAUCGUUCUGCGCAUUUCUUUGGCUUUCCUCUUUCCUCUCUCGCAUACCUCGGGUUCCAUCGUCUGCCGUUCUGUUUUCUGUCUUCAUCUUUCUUCGUUGGUACUGGAUAAUGGCUACUUCAUUCGUACAACUCAGGAGAACUUACCUCCUCUCUUCACUUUGUAAUUCAAUCGUUAGUUUUAAUACUAAUUUCCUGCCUUAGUCUGAGAGUUGUAUGAGUUAUCAGCUCUUUGCAAUAAAGGAAUUGUUAUAUUUGGGUGCUCUUUCGUUUUUGGUUCAAUUUUUUGUGUGAAAAUUAAAAAAAGGAGAAAUGAUGAUGGUUAAUUUUUCUCCCAUACUUGAUUUUCUUGGUUUGUUUCUACUAAUCUUUUGUUUCUUGGGCUGAUUGCACUUCUUUUUCGUUAUUUUUGGUGCAGAUAUGAAGAGGAUUUGUGAAGUUGCUGUGAUUUCAUGGUACUCAUGAUCAGUUUUUGGAUUUGAUUUGAAGGAAUUUCUAGGGUUCAUUGAAACGGUGGUCUUCAUUUUUUGGGGCUAUUGUGUGUAGGCUUCCAAGCUGUUUGUGCUUGAGGAUGUUGGAAGAGUCCUCUUCCGAGCACAUGUCGAGAGUCAACUCAAGGUUAACAGAUUUGUAUAUUUAUUAUUUGUGUAUUGAAUAAGAAUUAGAUAAUGGUUCAUGAACACAAAAUGAUUUUGGCAUAUAUACAGAAUGAGAUAAUGUUUAAGCCUGACCUGUUUGUGGCGCCUCAUCCAGAAUUGCCACUUUUGCUUUUGGAUCAAAUGACGUAUGUUGUAUAGCAUCUUGGUAUUUACAUAAAUAUCAUUUGUAACAAAAAACAGAAUGAAUUGAAGCAAAACCUUGGUGUUAGAAGUUUGAUUUUA